CGCAGAGGGUCCCGGUUGGGGCACGUGACUUUCAGGCCCCGCCCCGCUGGUUCCCGCCCAGCCAAGCAGUUCGGAAUCUCUAACAAGAAUCACCAGGAGGUUUUGAAAACUCUAACGGCGAGACCUUCCCCUCCCACACCAGUUGAACCAGAAUGCGUUAAGAUGGGCCCUUGUGCAAUUGCAGCGCGAGCAGGGGAGGAGCAGAGAAAGAGGGAAACAGAAUCCAAAGCUGGCUCCGAGCUGUCAGCACAGAGCCCAACACAGGGCUUGAACCCACAGACCGUGAGAUCAUGACCUGAGACAAAGUCGGUCGCGCAACCGUCUGAGCCACCCAGGCGCCACUAGAGUGACCACCUUUUUAGAGAGCCAACCCUGGACACAGUCCUACCAGACGAAUAACAUACUCCCUGAGUCAAUCAUGGUCCAGAAGCAGACGAUCCUUCUGACAUAGCCUGAGAAGGUGGAUAGUAGCCUAACGCUACCUCACAAUGCCUACAUCAUACCCCUCACUUUAUCUCAUCAUAGAAGCAUUUUAUCAUCUCACAUCAUCACAAGAAGAAGGGGAGAGCACAAGUUGGGGAAGAGGAGCAGAGAGAGAGAGAGAAUCUC